UACGUAGGGUGCAAGCGUUAUCCGGAAUUAUUGGGCGUAAAGAGCUCGUAGGCGGUCAGUCGCGUCUGCUGUGAAAACUCGGGGCUUAACUCCGGGCCUGCAGUGGGUACGGGCUGACUAGAGUGCGGUAGGGGAGACUGGAAUUCCUGGUGUAGCGGUGAAAUGCGCAGAUAUCAGGAGGAACACCGAUGGCGAAGGCAGGUCUCUGGGCCGUAACUGACGCUGAGAAGCGAAAGCAUGGGGAGCGAACAGG
rnacentral:rRNA from 1 species